rnacentral:sRNA from 1 species
UGGAGACUGAAGUCUUCUGUUUGUCCACAGAACAGAUAACAGUGCAGGAAUUUGCUGUGCACACCCACCACACAGCACUUUGCCAAUGUGACUGAACCAGGCCCUGGAGAAAUGACUCCAGGUGUGAGAGGUAGCUCAGUAUCUGUG